rnacentral:rRNA from 1 species
UACGUAGGGUGCAAGCGUUAUCCGGAAUUAUUGGGCGUAAAGAGCUCGUAGGCGGUUUGUCGCGUCUGCUGUGAAAACUGGAGGCUCAACCUCCAGCCUGCAGUGGGUACGGGCAGACUAGAGUGCGGUAGGGGGAGAUUGGAAUUCCUGGUGUAGCGGUGGGAAUGCGCAGAUAUCAGGAGGAACACCGAUGGCGAAGGCAGAUCUCUGGGCCGUAACUGACGCUGAGGAGCGAAAGCAUGGGGAGCGAACAGG